UCUCGAUAGCGUAAAAGUUAACUCAAAUUUGUAUGGAGUUGGAACGUUUUUCCACGUUUGCCGCUAGGGGCGCUGUUCCAACUCCAUACAAAUAUGAGUUAACUUUUACGCUAUCUA
rnacentral:pre_miRNA from 9 species